UGGUCUUGACAUACUACUGAUCGUCACAGAGAUGUGAUUUUUUCUUCGGAGACAGUAGAUAC
rnacentral:rRNA from 1 species